rnacentral:rRNA from 1 species
UACCGAGGUCUCAAGCGUUGUUCGGAUUCACUGGGUUUAAAGGGUGCGUAGGUGGGUUGGUAAGUCAGUGGUGAAAUCUCCGAGCUUAACUUGGAAACUGCCAUUGAUACUAUCAGUCUUGAAUAUUGUGGAGGUCAGCGGAAUAUGUCAUGUAGCGGUGAAAUGCUUAGAUAUGACAUAGAACACCAAUUGCGAAGGCAGCUGGCUACACAUAUAUUGACACUGAGGCACGAAAGCGUGGGGAUCAAACAGG